rnacentral:piRNA from 1 species
CUGUAUAGACCAAACAGCAUCAACGGUUAC